UACGUAGGGUGCGAGCGUUGUCCGGAAUUAUUGGGCGUAAAGAGCUCGUAGGCGGCUUGUCGCGUCGGAUGUGAAAGCCCGGGGCUUAACUCCGGGUCUGCAUUCGAUACGGGCAGGCUAGAGUGUGGUAGGGGAGAUCGAAUUCCUGGUGUAGCGGUGAAAUGCGCAGAUAUCAGGAGGAACACCGGUGGCGAAGGCGGGUCUCUGGGCCGUAACUGACGCUGAGGAGCGAAAGCGUGGGGAGCGAACAGG
rnacentral:rRNA from 1 species